rnacentral:rRNA from 1 species
GACGAACGCUGGCGGCGUGCCUAAUACAUGCAAGUGGAACGCAUUGAUAUCACCGGAGCUUGCUCCACCGAUAUAAAUGAGUCGCGAACGGGUGAGUAACGCGUAGGUAACCUGCCUGAUAGCGGGGGAUAACUAUUGGAAACGAUAGCUAAUACCGCAUGAGAGUGUUUAACACAUGUUAGAGACUUAAAAGAUACAAUUGUAUCACUAUCAGAUGGACCUGCGUUGUAUUAGCUAGUUGGUAGGGUAGCGGCCUACCAAGGCAACGAUACAUAGCCGACCUGAGAGGGUGAUCGGCCACACUGGGACUGAGACACGGCCCAGACUCCUACGGGAGGCAGCAGUAGGGAAUCUUCGGCAAUGGACGAAAGUCUGACCGAGCAACGCCGCGUGAGUGAAGAAGGUUUUCGGAUCGUAAAGCUCUGUUGUAGCGGAAGAACGCGUGUAAGAGUGGAAAGUUACACAGUGACGUACGUACCAGAAAGG